CUCAUCAAAUUCUCUUUAGAAAAGAUAGUGGGUUGGUGAUUUGAAGAAAGAGGCAGGGGCAGAGGCAGAGCUUAAUUUAUGUAGCUGGGUAUUCCGGUUAUGUCUAUCGCCGGCGGCUGGAGGCUUUUGCACUCUUCUCUGGUUGUGAUUUUGGUCAUUUCUGUGUUACAGAUUUGGGUCUGCUGUGACUGCAAAGCAGGCGCAAUACGGGUUUUCCCAGGACACACUAAUGUAUUAUCAAAGGUGGAGGCAGAGAGCAGCAACACGAUGCAGAGCAAGAGCAACAGAAGCAGAGAGGCCCUGUUCCAUAAGUACUUCGGUGGCAGUGUCAGAGCUUCUAACUUCAACAAAACAGAGCAAGGGUAUGAAGACAGCAAACGAAGAGUGCCCAGUUGCCCAGAUCAACUCCACAACUAAUUUAUGGAGGAUCCAGAAAUGGACAAUGAUGAUCAUGGAUCAUGAUGUGCAGUGUACAGAGAGAAGUUGAGAAAUUUGGUUUUGCAGUGACCAGCUUAUAUUUUGUACUACCUGCUAUAGCUAGAAUCUCCGUAUCUACAACUUUUCAAGAUCCUCUCUUUCGUUUUUUAGCUUUUGCUUUUGGGAUCAGAAGAUCGAA